rnacentral:rRNA from 1 species
GAGUUUGAUCCUGGCUCAGAACGUACGCUGGCGGCACGCCUAACACAUGCAAGUCGAACGAAGUAGCAAUACUUAGUGGCAGACGGGUGAGUAACAUGUAGGUAUCUGCCCUUUGGCCUGGAAUAACACGAGGAAACUUGUGCUAAUACCGGAUAAGUCUUUACGGAGAAAGCUUUAUGCACCAUUGGAUGAGCCUGCACUUGAUUAGUUUGUUGGUGGGGUAAUGGCCUACCAAGACUGUGAUCAAUAGCUGAUUUGAGAGGAUGAUCAGCCACAUUGGGACUGAGACACGGCCCAAACUCCUACGGGAGGCAGCAGUGGGGAAUCUUGCACAAUGGAGGAAACUCUGAUGCAGCGAUGCCGCGUGAGUGAAGAAGGCCCUUGGGUUGUAAAGCUCUUUCGUCGGGGAAGAAAAUGACUGUACCCGAAUAAGAAGGUCCGGCUAACUUCGUGCCAGCAGCCGCGGUAAUACGAAGGGACCGAGCGUAGUUCGGAAUUACUGGGCUUAAAGAGUUCGUAGGUGGUUGAAAAAGUUAGUGGUGAAAUCCCAGGGCUUAACUCUGGAACUGCCAUUAAAACUUUUCAGCUAGAGUAUGAUAGAGGAAAGCAGAAUUUCUAGUGUAGAGGUGAAAUUCGUAGAUAUUAGAAAGAAUACCAAUUGCGAAGGCAGCUUUCUGGAUCAUUACUGACACUGAGGAACGAAAGCAUGGGUAGCGAAGAGGAUUAGAUACCCUCGUAGUCCAUGCCGUAAACGAUGUGUGUUAGACGUUGGAAAUUUAUUUUCAGUGUCGCAGGGAAACCGAUAAACACACCGCCUGGGGAGUACGACCGCAAGGUUAAAACUCAAAUGAAUUGACGGGGACCCGCACAAGUAGUGGAGCAUGUGGUUUAAUUCGAAGAUACGCGCAGAACCUUACCAACACUUGACAUGUUCGUCGCGACUCUAAGAGAUUAGAGUUUUCGGUUCGGCCGGACGAAACACAGGUGCUGCAUGGCUGUCGUCAGCUCGUGUCGUGAGAUGUUGGGUUAAGUCCCGCAACGAGCGCAACCCUCACUUUUAGUUGCCAUCAUUAAGUUGGGCACUCUGAAAGAACUGCCAGUGAUAAGCUGGAGGAAGGUGGGGAUGACGUCAAGUCCUCAUGGCCCUUACGUGUUGGGCUACACACGUGCUACAAUGGUAUCUACAACAGGAAGCAAGACUGCGAAGUUAAGCAAAUCCCUAAAAGAUACCUCAGUUCGGAUUGCACUCUGCAACUCGAGUGCAUGAAGCUGGAAUUACUAGUAAUCGUGGAUCAGCGUGCCACGGUGAAUGCGUUCCCGGGUCUUGUACACACCGCCCGUCACACCAUGGGAGUUGGUUCUACCUUAAGGCAAGGUUUUAAACCCUUGACCACGGUAUAGUCAGCGACUGGGGUGAAGUCGUAACAAGGUAACC